CCUACGGGAGACAGCAGUGAGGAAUAUUGGUCAAUGGACGAGAGUCUGAACCAGCCAAGUAGCGUGAAGGAUGACUGCCCUAUGGGUUGUAAACUUCUUUUAUAUAGGAAUAAAACAAGGCAUGCAUGCCUUUUUGCAUGUACUUUAUGAAUAAGGAUCGGCUAACUCCGUGCCAGCAGCCGCGGUAAUACGGAGGAUCCGAGCGUUAUCCGGAUUUAUUGGGUUUAAAGGGAGCGUAGAUGGGUUGUUAAGUCAGUUGUGAAAGUUUGCGGCUCAACCGUAAAAUUGCAUUUGAAACUGGCAGUCUUGAGUACAGUAGAGGUAGGCGGAAUUCGUGGUGUAGCGGUGAAAUGCUUAGAUAUCACGAAGAACCCCGAUUGCGAAGGCAGCUUACUAAACUGUAACUGACACUGAUGCUCGAAAGUGUGGGUAUCAAACAGGAUUAGAUACCCUAGUAGUC
rnacentral:rRNA from 1 species